rnacentral:rRNA from 1 species
GACGAACGCUGGCGGCGUGCUUAACACAUGCAAGUCGAACGGAAAGGCCCUGCUUUUGUGGGGUGCUCGAGUGGCGAACGGGUGAGUAACACGUGAGUAACCUGCCCUUGACUUUGGGAUAACUUCAGGAAACUGGGGCUAAUACCGGAUAGGAGCUCCUGCUGCAUGGUGGGGGUUGGAAAGUUUCGGCGGUUGGGGAUGGACUCGCGGCUUAUCAGCUGGUUGGUGGGGUAGUGGCUUACCAAGGCUUUGACGGGUAGCCGGCCUGAGAGGGUGACCGGCCACAUUGGGACGGAGAUACGGCCCAGACUCCUACGGGAGGCAGCAGUGGGGAAUAGUGCACAAUGGGCGGAAGCCUGAUGCAGCAACGCCGCGUGCGGGAUGACGGCCUUCGGGUUGUAAACCGCUUUCGCCUGUGACGAAGCGUGAGUGACGGUAAUGGGUAAAGAAGCACCGGCUAACUACGUG